GACGAACGCUGGCGGCGUGCUUAACACAUGCAAGUCGAACGGUAAGGCCCUUCGGGGUACACGAGUGGCGAACGGGUGAGUAACACGUGGGUGAUCUGCCCUGCACUUCGGGAUAAGCCUGGGAAACUGGGUCUAAUACCGGAUAGGACCACUGCCUGCAUGGGUGGUGGUGGAAAGCUUUUGCGGUGUGGGAUGGGCCCGCGGCCUAUCAGCUUGUUGGUGGGGUGAUGGCCUACCAAGGCGACGACGGGUAGCCGGCCUGAGAGGGUGACCGGCCACACUGGGACUGAGAUACGGCCCAGACUCCUACGGGAGGCAGCAGUGGGGAAUAUUGCACAAUGGGCGCAAGCCUGGUGCAGCGACGCCGCGUGAGGGAUGACGGCCUUCGGGUUGUAAACCUCUUUCAGCACCGACGAAGCGCAAGCGACGGUAGGUGCAGAAGAAGGACCGGCCAACUACGUGCCAGCCGCCGCGGUAA
rnacentral:rRNA from 1 species